UUUUGAGAAGGGGGGCCUGAGAAACGGCUACCACAUCCAAGGAAGGCAGCAGGCGCGCAAAUUACCCACUCCCGGCACGGGGAGGUAGUGACGAAAAAUAACGAUACGGGACUCAUCCGAGGCCCCGUAAUCGGAAUGAGUACACUCUAAAGACUUUAACGAGUAUCCAUUGGAGGGCAAGUCUGGUGCCAGCAGCCGCGGUAAUUCCAGCUCCAAUAGCGUAUAUUAAAGCUGUUGCGGUUAAAAAGCUCGUAGUCGGACUUGUGUCCCACGCUGCCGGUUCACCGCCCGUCGGUGUCUAACUGGCACGCACGUGCGGACGUCCUGCCGGUGGCCCGAGCCGGCGCCCGCGGGUGAGGGGGGCGGUGACGCCACCCCGCCUCGGGUCGUCUCGGGGAGGGCCUACACAAUCCCGUCGCGGUGCUCUUGACCGAGUGUCUCGAUGGGCCGGCACGGGAGAGGGAGCAAGAGAAACGGCUAACGCCUCGAAGGAAGGCAGCAGGGCCGCAAAUCACCCACUCCCGGCUCGGGGAGGAAGUUCUAUUUUGUUGGUUUUCGGGAUCCCGGAUGUAAUGAUCAAAAGUGACGGACGGUGGCAUUCGUUCGCUGACGUAAUAUGUAAAAUCCCCCAC
rnacentral:rRNA from 1 species